ACACACCAUUCCUUGGCCAGAGGAUCGUCUUUUUGGAACUGGCAUCUGCAUGAACACUGAGGUGAAGCGGAAACCGUCAUGUACGAAGCAGGACUAAAGAACAGCAGACCUGAAGGAAUAAGUUGGAAAGCAACACAACCCCCUGCAGCGUCACUGCGGAGCA